rnacentral:rRNA from 1 species
UACGAAGGGGGCUAGCGUUGCUCGGAAUCACUGGGCGUAAAGCGCACGUAGGCGGCUUUCUAAGUCAGGGGUGAAAUCCUGGAGCUCAACUCCAGAACUGCCCUUGAUACUGGAAAGCUUGAGUUCGGGAGAGGUGAGUGGAACUGCGAGUGUGGAGGUGAAAUUCGUAGAUAUUCGCAAGAACACCAGUGGCGAAGGCGGCUCACUGGCCCGAUACUGACGCUGAGGCACGAAAGCGUGGGGAGCAAACAGG